UUUGUUUUCAGGCCCGAGCUAAACAUGACAUCGCAAAUACUUUUGUUGCUGGAUGUGCUACUGGAGGUGCUAUAUCAGCUAAAGGUAACCCUCUUUUUCAUUCAUUUUCUCUCAUUUAUUAUGUUUUUGUCUCUCAUAACCUGUAUUUAAGAAAUGAGGGGCAGGCAUGGCAUGGCAUGCCUCCAUAAGAAAACCAAUGGCAAAUGACCAGAAGUGACUACCCUGAUGAUUGCUUCUUCUUGGUUGCUAAGGAGGCAUUGAAACUAAAUUUUAGCUAAAUGGUAGAGUAUACCUUCGGUUGUUGUGAGCUUAUAUACUCUAGUCCUGUAGUUCUGUUUGGUAAAAUGAUUAACUUCAAGCAAGAUUGAGUUUAUGCUCUGCUCUGUCUUUCACCAUAGUAUAAUCCAGAUCACUAUAAACACUUAAUUAAACUUAAUUCAAAGUCCAUAAUAAAGUCAUACAUACACAAUCACAAGUGAUAAAUUAACAAGUUAAGCCAGAGCAUUAACAAGUGCAACUUAGCAACUCCAAAUAUACAAAAUACAAAGCACCAAGUUUUUAGCAAGUGGCAAGACAUAAACGCCAAAAUUAAGUAGUCAAAUUUUAGAUAUCUAAUCUAGACAAUCUUUCAAGUUAAAAUGACUGAUCCCACCAAUCUUACAAGUAAGAUUGUCGAUCCCACAGAAUCCUACCAGAUUGCAAUUCUGCCUGUUAUUUGCAUCGUCCAAGUUGUCAAGGAUCUUAUGAGCAAUAUUGCAAUUUUGACUAUAUUGGCAAAUAAUUUCAACGUAUUAUUACAACCCUAGUCUUUCUCAAAAAAAUUUAAGUGUGUUGCAUGGUGUGGGGGUUUCUUUGUAUGGUUUUUGGUGUCUGGGAUGGUUAGAAAUUUAGAAAGAAGAAUAUUUAUAGGAGUGACUUAGGUGGGUGCAAAGGUGGAUUUUGUUUCUUUUAGGAGAUGGGGUUGAGCACUUAUGGGAUAAAAUGUAUGGCAACAAAGGUUGCAAUUCGACAUCAUUGUCUUUGUUGUGCAUACUCAAGGAGAUGGGGUUGAGCACUUGUGGGAUAAGUGAGUAAUGGUGAUGGGAUGCAUGCAGACAUACUCAUGAGCUGGGCUUGCUUGCAUUUAGAAGAGAGAAUGCUACUUAACACUUUAACUGAGCCAAGCCUGAAGCUACAUAUACUGUUACCGUAUUCUCAAUAGGGUCUCCUUACUGAGGUGUUACUAAAAGCCUUAAUGCAGUGCCCUAAUAUUAAGAGCCAACAAACCACUGAAACAGUAGUGCCUUACACAAGGAACUGUUUCUCUAAUUCUUCAUUGAGUGCGGUGCAAAGGGAGUUUGGUGUGGAUGGAGAGCACAAAGUGGCGUUCAUCAAGUGUCUAGAGGUUUUCUGUCUUUGCAGUGGCUUAACAACAUUUAUCUUGUAUUUCACCCAAAACAUAAGGUUAUUGGUAGAAAUAUUUUUUUUAUCCCUUUCAAAGUUGUUUUCUAUUUAAAUAUAAGUUAGGGCUGUUGAUGAAAAUUGAAAACCAAAAAUCAGAAUACGCAGUUGUAGCUGCAAGUUUUCAUAGGGUUCUGACAGUGGUCCAAUAUGGAUGCAGUGCUUUGAUAUAGGUGCUGUAUUUUUAGUUUUAGGUCUUGUUGGUUUACUCAUCUCUUUCCUCGUUCUUGAAGCAAUUUGUGCAUUGUAGGCUGUUAAAAUGAAAAAGAAAAUUGAUUUAAAAAAGAGAAAAGAAACAAUUAUCAGGCCGGAUAAAGAACUUGCAAACCAAGAAUUGAAACCCUUAAUGCUCCUUGAUAAUUCUGGUCUCUCCCUGUGUUUCGCAAUGACAUUUGUUAAUGUUUUCCAAUGUUUUUGUGUGGUUGUAGGUGGUUCAAAAGCUGCAUGUAUGGGUUGCGCUGGCUUUGCAGCAUUCUCUGUCGUAAUAGAGAAGUUUUUGGAGAGGCAUCAAUAAGUGAACUGACUCGGACCAGUUUUGUAUUCUUCAAUCAUAGUUUGACUUCUUGAUAAAAAUACUUUACUCAUAAUGAUAAAGGGGCAUGAUAGGGAGAAACAUGAAUUGCAGUAUUAAUCACACCUGUAAUUUAUUUGUAUACAAUGUCAUUGAUGGAUGCAUUCUCCGAACUUGGGAAAGCUCUUUGUAAUGACAUGAUUUAGUAUUGGAAAAUGCUUAGCAUUACGAAAACGCGAGGAGCAAUAAUUGCGAUAGACUCUAGUGUUUGGCACCGGUGCAUAGUAGUAUUAGUUAGUUUAAAUAGUUUUUUCUUUGUAAUUCAUUCUUAUUUUUGAAAGUUUUUAUGACGCUUAUGUACCCUUGUCAUAUCUAUUUAAGUGAAAAAUGUAUUAAAUUUUGGUUCUUGGGUAAAAAAUUAUAUUCAAUCA
rnacentral:lncRNA from 1 species